rnacentral:rRNA from 1 species
GAUGAACGCUGGCGGCGUGCUUAACACAUGCAAGUCGAACGGGAUCCAUCAAGCUUGCUUGGUGGUGAGAGUGGCGAACGGGUGAGUAAUGCGUGACCGACCUGCCCCAUACACCGGAAUAGCUCCUGGAAACGGGUGGUAAUGCCGGAUGCUCCAGUUGAUCGCAUGGUCUUCUGGGAAAGCUUUCGCGGUAUGGGAUGGGGUCGCGUCCUAUCAGCUUGACGGCGGGGUAACGGCCCACCGUGGCUUCGACGGGUAGCCGGCCUGAGAGGGCGACCGGCCACAUUGGGACUGAGAUACGGCCCAGACUCCUACGGGAGGCAGCAGUGGGGAAUAUUGCACAAUGGGCGCAAGCCUGAUGCAGCGACGCCGCGUGAGGGAUGGAGGCCUUCGGGUUGUAAACCUCUUUUAUCGGGGAGCAAGCGAGAGUGAGUUUACCCGUUGAAUAAGCACCGG